CCAGACUCCUACGGGAGGCAGCAGUAGGGAAUCUUCGGCAAUGGACGGAAGUCUGACCGAGCAACGCCGCGUGAGUGAAGAAGGUUUUCGGAUCGUAAAGCUCUGUUGUAAGAGAAGAACGAGUGUGAGAGUGGAAAGUCCACACUGUGACGGUAUCUUACCAGAAAGGGACGGCUAACUACGUGCCAGCAGCCGCGGUAAUACGUAGGUCCCGAGUGUUGUCCGGAUUUAUUGGGCGUAAAGCGAGCGCAGGCGGUUAGAUAAGUCUGAAGUUAAAGGCUGUGGCUUAACCAUAGUACGCUUUGGAAACUGUUUAACUUGAGUGCAAGAGGGGAGAUUGGAAUUCCAUGUGUAGCGGUGAAAUGCGUAGAUAUAUGGAGGAACACCGGUGGCGAAAGCGGCUCUCUGGCUUGUAACUGACGCUGAGGCUCGAGAGCGUGGGGAGCAAACAGGAUUAGAUACCCUGGUAGUCCACGCCGUAAACGAUGAGUGCUAGGUGUCAGACCCUUUCCGGGGUUUAGUGCCGCAGCUAACGCAUUAAGCACUCCGCCUGGGGAGUACGACCGCAAGGUUGAAACUCAAAGGAAUUGACGGGGGCCCGCACAG
rnacentral:rRNA from 1 species